GACGAACGCUGGCGGCGUGCUUAACACAUGCAAGUCGAACGGAAAGGCCCUGCUUUUGUGGGGUGCUCGAGUGGCGAACGGGUGAGUAACACGUGAGUAACCUGCCCUUGACUUUGGGAUAACUUCAGGAAACUGGGGCUAAUACCGGAUAGGAGCUCCUGCUGCAUGGUGGGGGUUGGAAAGUUUCGGCGGUUGGGGAUGGACUCGCGGCUUAUCAGCUUGUUGGUGGGGUAGUGGCUUACCAAGGCUUUGACGGGUAGCCGGCCUGAGAGGGUGACCGGCCACAUUGGGACUGAGAUACGGCCCAGACUCCUACGGGAGGCAGCAGUGGGGAAUAUUGCACAAUGGGCGGAAGCCUGAUGCAGCAACGCCGCGUGCGGGAUGACGGCCUUCGGGUUGUAAACCGCUUUCGCCGGUGACGAAGCGUGAGUGACGGUAAUGGGUAAAGAAGCACCGGCUAACUACGUGCCAGCAGCCGCGGUGAUACGUAGGGUGCGAGCGUUGUCCGGAUUUAUUGGGCGUAAAGGGCUCGUAGGUGGUUGAUCGCGUCGGAAGUGUAAUCUUGGGGCUUAACCCUGAGCGUGCUUUCGAUACGGGUUGACUUGAGGAAGGUAGGGGAGAAUGGAAUUCCUGGUGGAGCGGUGGAAUGCGCAGAUAUCAGGAGGAACACCAGUGGCGAAGGCGGUUCUCUGGGCCUUUCCUGACGCUGAGGAGCGAAAGCGUGGGGAGCGAACAGGCUUAGAUACCCUGGUAGUCCACGCUGUAAACGGUGGGUACUAGGUGUGGGGUCCAUUCCACGGGUUCCGUGCCGUAGCUAACGCUUUAAGUACCCCGCCUGGGGAGUACGGCCGCAAGGCUAAAACUCAAAGGAAUUGACGGGGCCCCGCACAAGCGGCGGAGCAUGCGGAUUAAUUCGAUGCAACGCGUAGAACCUUACCUGGGUUUGACAUGGAUCGGGAGUGCUCAGAGAUGGGUGUGCCUCUUUUGGGGUCGGUUCACAGGUGGUGCAUGGCCGUCGUCAGCUCGUGUCGUGAGAUGUUGGGUUAAGUCCCGCAACGAGCGCAACCCUUGUUCACUGUUGCCAGCACGUUAUGGUGGGGACUCAGUGGAGACCGCCGGGGUCAACUCGGAGGAAGGUGGGGAUGACGUCAAGUCAUCAUGCCCCUUAUGUCCAGGGCUUCACGCAUGCUACAAUGGCUGGUACAGAGAGUGGCGAGCCUGUGAGGGUGAGCGAAUCUCGGAAAGCCGGUCUCAGUUCGGAUUGGGGUCUGCAACUCGACCUCGUGAAGUCGGAGUCGCCAGUAAUCGCAGAUCAGCAACGCUGCGGUGAAUACGUUCCCGGG
rnacentral:rRNA from 1 species